GCAGCAUUGAUGAUGAAACACUCUUAUUGUUAUCCUUGCACUUUGAUUUAUCGUGAAGAAACUCAUGGGGAAUAGUGUUCCUGAAAUGCUU